GUUUGAUCCUGGCUCAGAUUGAACGCUGGCGGCAUGGUUAAAACAUGCAAGUCGAACGAUCCCUUCGGGGAGAGUGGCGAAAGGGCGAGGAAUAUAAUCGAAUGUACCCCAAGGUAGAGGAUAGCUUCUGGAAACGGGAGGUAAUACUCUAUGUGCUCUACGGAGGAAAGGUUUACCGCCUUGGGAGCGGCGAUUAUCCUAUCAGGUAGUUGGUGAGGUAAAGGCUCACCAAGCCGAAGACGGGUAGC
rnacentral:rRNA from 1 species